rnacentral:piRNA from 1 species
UCAAAGUAAGCAGCAGAAGCCGCUGCUGGUGU